AGAGAUCAUUGGGUGUAAAGCGUGCGCAGGCGGUUUUGUAAGACAGAGGUGAAAUCCCCGGGCUCAACCUGGGAACUGCCUUUGUGACUGCAAGGCUGGAGUGCGGCAGAGGGGAUGGAAUUCCGCGUGUAGCAGUGAAAUGCGUAGAUAUGCGGAGGAACACCGAUGGCGAAGGCAAUCCCCUGGGCCUGCACUGACGCUCAUGCACGAAAGCGUGGGGAGCAAACA
rnacentral:rRNA from 1 species